UAGGGCGUAGUGCUUUCUUCCUGA
rnacentral:tRNA from 1 species